GUCCGGGUGGCGCAGUGGUUAACGCAACUGCCUAGCAAGCAGGAGGUCCCUGGUUUGAAUCCCGGUCUGGCACA